rnacentral:rRNA from 1 species
AGUGAACGCUGGCGGUAGGCCUAACACAUGCAAGUCGAACGGCAGCACAGGAGAGCUUGCUCUCUGGGUGGCGAGUGGCGGACGGGUGAGGAAUACAUCGGAAUCUACUUUUUCGUGGGGGAUAACGUAGGGAAACUUACGCUAAUACCGCAUACGACCUACGGGUGAAAGCAGGGGAUCUUCGGACCUUGAGCGAUUGAAUGAGCAGAUGUCGGAUUAGCUAGUUGGCGGGGUAAAGGCCCACCAAGGCGACGAUCCGUAGCUGGUCUGAGAGGAUGAUCAGCCACACUGGAACUGAGACACGGUCCAGACUCCUACGGGAGGCAGCAGUGGGGAAUAUUGGACAAUGGGCGCAAGCCUGAUCCAGCCAUACCGCGUGGGUGAAGAAGGCCUUCGGGUUGUAAAGCCCUUUUGUUGGGAAAGAAAUCCAGCUGGUUAAUACCCGGUUGGGAUGACGGUACCCAAAGAAUAAGCACCGGCUAACUUCGUGCCAGCCGCCGCAGUAA